rnacentral:misc_RNA from 1 species
ACUUUUCUGACCAAUGAAAUUGUUUACAGACGUUCAACCUUUUCCGAAGUCAAGGACGGAAAUAUACAAGCAAGUGGAAUAAGAAGGUUUCAUCAUAAAAAAGAUUAGCAGCAAUAUGUCAUCCAAAAGCAAGAAAAUGAGAAUGAACUGGGAGGUGCCAGCUUCAAAGAUGUCUCACCAGACAUUUAAUCCAAUCCGCAACAUCGUGGAUACAAUGAAGCUAACGCCCAAUCCAGAUAAAGAGAUGAUAGCUUUAUCCAUUGGAGACCCGACUGUGUUUAACAACCUCCCGAUCCCAGAGCACAUCAACAAGUGUGUGGUGGACAAGAUCCAUGGUCAGAAACAUAAUGGCUACAACCCUUCCAUAGGCUAUGAAGAUUCCCGUGCGGCAGUGGCAAAGUACUCGUCUACACCUGGCAAAGAGCUAACCGCAAAGGUUCUGAUAAAUUACGUAGCAUUCCCAGCCAGACGAUAAAAUUUAAAAUCAUCCAGAGAUGUCGUUCUUACUGGCGGCUGCUCCAUGGCCCUCGACCUGUGCAUCUGCGUCCUAGCGAAUCCCGGACAGAACAUCCUGGUCCCUAUGCCGGGCUUCUCCAUCUACAAGACACUGGCCGAGUCACAUGGCAUCCAAGUCAAGCACUACAACCUCAGGCCUGAAAAGAACUGGGAAGUUGAUCUGGAUCACUUGGAGUCUUUGAUUGACGACAAAACGGCCACGAUUCUCAUCAACAACCCGUCCAAUCCCUGCGGCUCUGUGUUCAGUCGCAAUCAUCUCCUGUCAAUUCUAGAGCUGGCCAAAAGACACAAAGUGCCAAUCAUUGCUGACGAGAUUUAUGAACAUUUUGUGUUUUCUGGGAACGAGUACCACUCUCUGGGGUCACUGUCAGAUGAUGUGCCCAUUUUGUCCUGCAGUGGUCUGACAAAGCGGUUUUUAGUCCCAGGGUGGAGACUCGGAUGGAUUGUUAUCAAUGAUCGCCAUGACACAUUUACAGAGGUGCGAGCAGGUUUGGUCAGAUUGUCCCAGCGUCUCUUGGGUCCUAAUUCGAUCGUCCAAGCUGCUCUCCCAGAGAUAUUGUCGGCCACCCCAGAGCAUUUCUUUGAUGAAACCGUACAGUAUGUGGAGGAAAAUGCCAGAAACUUCUACAACAGGAUCAGCAAAGUACCUGGACUGAGACCGGUGGAGCCCCAGGGAGCUAUGUACAUGAUGAUCGGCAUCGACAUUGAUUGUUUUCCUGGCAUUAAGGACGACGUGGAUUUCACAGAGAGGAUGGUCAAGGAACAAAGUGUCUUCUGUUUACCUGCCCAGUGUUUCCAGUUUCCAAACUUUUUCCGAGUUGUACUUACCAUUCCCAAGGCCAAAGUGUCCACUGCCUGUGAGAGGAUCGAAGAAUUUUGUAAGAAACACUAUUGUCCAAGUAAAGCAACCAAUGGCAGCACAGGGAGUGACAAACUGACCAAUGGCAGUGGUUCCCAUUGAGCUCAUCCAAAUAAUGCAUCGGACAGGAAAUUAGAGAUGAAACAUCAUUCUCUUCCUCCACAUGUUUACCCAUUUGAGGAAUUCUUUAACAUGAUCAAUUAAAAUUCUGCAAAAAUCCAUCGUUUGCUAACGAUUGUUUCACUUUGUGCCAAACUUAAACGAAUAUGUCAAGGCAAACUGAACCUGGCAUUCCAGUGACCUGUAUUCUUUUAAAACAAUGUUUAACUAUCACCAUUAACUGAUGUAUUUCUUUGUUUUUCUUUUUACGAACUGUCACUGAUAUCAAUGAUAUUUGUUCUGCGUACAGUAUUCUCUUCACAAUAUGUUGAUUGAUGCCAACCUGUUUAUUGUAUACACGCGUACAAUUAUAUUGGGAGAUUUUUUAGGAUUACAUAUGGGUUACAUUUAUAGUAUUUAUGUUGGUGUUUUUGGUUUUAUUUUAUAAACCAACAGUAAGUCAUUGUCCUGUUAGAGAUGUUUUUUUUACUUCUUUCCUAUCCUGAUUAUGAACAAAAUGAAUUGCUGUAAAAGAUCAUGUGAUAUGUAUUAAAGUCUUUGACUUUAUCAGAAUAUACCGGUAGGUAUUGCUUUUAUAAUAUCGUAGUUUAUUUUGUUAUUUUCUUUGUCUAUUGUACAAAUAUUUUUUAUAAAAUCAUGACUUGGUAUUUUAAAGGAAUUUUUUUGUAUUGCAGAUUGGCUCUAAUUCAACAUUAGAGUCAUCUCCCUUAGAUCUGAUGUAUUUACUAUUUUUAAAAGAGGAGGCAAGCAAUCUCGCGAGUCCUCUUCAUCUGUUUGACAAUCUUAGCACUUUGAUGUAAUGUAAACUUUUACUGAUUGCAUGAAAGGUUGCAUUAUGACAGAUUUUUGUUUUAUUUUUUAGCAUUAAGUAGAGAUCCAGAGUGUAUCUACUCUGUGGUCAUUUGUGAAUAGACCAAACAUUUUGUUGACAAGAUUUGUUUGUUGAAAAUAUCAAUUAUCUUACGUUUGUUUUUGUCUUGUUGGAAAUAAAAUGAAGUUUAAUGC